AAUCAAAAACAAAAACAAAACAUAAACAAACCCCCUCUCUUUCUCCAUGGAUUAUCAAUAGUGUCCUUUAUAAAACCCUACCCCUUCCUCUCCCCCCCAUUUCUCUCUCCCCCAUUUCUUCUUGGAGAGGAAGAAAAAGCUAAAAAGCUUCAAACUUUGAGAGCAAAAUGGACACAUACGAAGCUACUCAAGUAGUGAUGUCAAGGAUCCAAAGCAUGGAUCCGGAAAACGCCUCCAAAAUCAUGGGCUCCAUUCUGAUUCAGGAUCAAGGCGACAAGGAGAUGAUACGCUUAGCAUUCGUCCCUGAUUCCAUCCUCCUCUCCUACAUCAACCAAGCCAAGUCCCGUCUCUCCUCUUCCCCAAAGCCCUUCUCCUCCUCCCCAAGAAUCUUGAUUCCCAACAACAAUUUCCACCACCACCACCACUUCACCAACCCAAGCAGCAGCCCCACCCCUUCCCUCAGCCCGAGGCCCUUCUCCUACGCCGCCGCUCUCAACGCCCCCACCACUCCCUCCGCCCAAAGUUUCAAUUUUUACGGCGGCGACGACUCCUCCGUGGAUCCAGCGAUGAGCCCAAGUGGCCGGAGUGACUCCCUCGUCUUCCCAUAUGGCGCGGAGGAGCCAAGCCCCCACCACCCCUUCCACCGCCGGAGCAGCUCGGUGAACGACGCUGCGUUUCUUGCUAACAUGGAUGACUGCGGCGGCGGCGGCGGGUGGCGCCCCUGCAUGUACUUUGCCAGGGGCUUCUGCAAGAAUGGGAGCUCUUGCAAGUUCCUUCACGGCGGAGAAGAGGCGGCGGCGGAGGUGGGGUCUCCGGGAAAGGGGUUUGAUGAGUUGAUGAGGAUGAAGGCGAUUCAGCAGCAGAGGCUUGCGCUCAUGGCGUCGUCUCCUCGCGGCCAUUUUUCUGCUUACAAUAAAUGCAUCGACUUUCUCAAUGAGAAUCCGAGGAAUGAGUUUUUACCUAUGGGAUUGGGGGCUGCUGCUUUGAGUUCGAGCUCUCGGCAAAUUUACUUGACAUUUCCAGCAGAUAGUACUUUCAAGGAGGAAGAUGUCUCUAGCUAUUUUAGUAUGUUUGGACCUGUUCAAGAUGUUAGGAUUCCGUUUCAGCAGAAGCGGAUGUUUGGCUUUGUGACGUUUGUGUAUCCGGAAACGGUCAAGCUCAUCUUGGCAAAAGGGAAUCCUCACUUUGUCUGUGAUUCUCGCGUGCUUGUCAAGCCUUACAAGGAGAAGGGGAAAGUCGCUGAAAAGAAACAACAACACCACUUGGAUUUGGGCAUGGAGUCUAGUGAGAACAUUGAGCUCCCCUUUGGAUCUAGAAUGUUGUUCAAUACACCGGAGAUGAUGCUGAGGAGAAAACUGGAGCAGGAGGCCGAAUUACAGCAUGCGAUCGAGCUUCAAGAAAGAAGGAUCAUGAAUUUGCAACUGAUGGACCUGAAAAACCAUCAGCAUAAUCAUCACCUCUUGCAAGGUUUUAGAGCCGGAAUUCCAAUGUCCUCGCCUCGCCAGUCUCAGUUUCUGAUGAAUCAAAACUUCAUCCCUGAUGGCUCGAAUCAAGAAAACACGGAAGAGUUUGAUGGUCCAGCUAAAUCUACUAACUUGGUGCCGGAAGGAACUAAAUUCUGUAACAACAUUGUUGUUGGCAACGACAACGGCGAUGAUUCUAAUACCCCUCACAGCUUUGAUCACAUGCUUCCCGAUAACCUUUUUGCUUCUCCAACAAAAGUAGCCGGUGAGCACCGUUCUCUUUUCUCUGAAGCUUCGGCCUCUGCUGAUGAUAGUAUACCUGUAACAAUGACCUCCUCCAAGAACACUACCAGCCUCGUGCUUCCCGCCCUGGCUUCUCUCAAAUCGUGUAGCGUCGAAAUACCAAGGUUUUCUGCUGGGCAAGAAGCCAUUGAAAUGUAGGUUUGUUAGAGUUGGAAUGGAUAGCAACAACCAAGAAUUAACUUAUGUAGAAAGAUUGAAUAUAGCUAAAGCAAAACAAUACCCCUCCAUCAACAAAAUACAUAAUGGCACUACUAUUACUACUACUACUAAAGUGCUGAUUGAAUGGGAGUAGGGCUCUUUUCUCUGACUACCCCACAUUUUGUACCCUCUCUUCAUGUGUAAAGGGACCACCACAUUAUUUAACAAAAGCAUAUAACAAACAAAAGGUACCAGUGAUGAUACUAUAUAAUAGCAUAUUUACAAAAUCCUGUGUUUACUUUUGCAAUGUGAAAAUCAUUUGGUGUGUGAUUA